GAUUUAGCUGCACACCUACAGAACCAGCUCAACUUCUGGGACACCUCUAGCUCAGGUGAAACCCCGGCUACACUGGUGGGUAAGCAUGGUACCAAGGAGCUGUCUUCACAGUGGAUACAGAAGAACAACAGAAGAUGUGAGGAGGAAGAAGAAAAGAAAGAAUUUCCCCAACACCAUACGUUUUUACCGAUGUCCAUGAUUAGAGUCUGAACCACAGCGGUGACUACAAGCAUCAGCACAGAAAGACAUGAAUUUGGGAGAUAUUUGGAAAAUAGGAGGCCACAUUUCUUAUGCUUUUAUUGUCCCUUCUUGAGAGAGUUUGCUACCCACCUACAGGAAUGUUCCUUAAGGGGCAAAGACUAGAUUUUUUUUUUUUUUCCAAAUCCACCUUGUACUAAUAGUUUUGUAAAAUGCAAUAAAAAUGAUUUAGUAUAAAAAUAAUAUAGAAAAUAAACACUUUCAAAGUUUCAGUAUUUUAUUAUUAAAUCCUUCAAACAUAAGAUUACAUUUUAG
rnacentral:lncRNA from 1 species